rnacentral:lncRNA from 1 species
AAGGAACAACAGAAGGUUUCAACAAUCAAGCAGAGACGCCAAAGAUCGAGCAAAGGAGAUUGCACUUCAAGUGCACUUUACUGGCAUAAAGCUACCUAAAUGGUCACCCAUUUUACAGAACAUUAACAGCUAUCCUUCGUGUGAGUAUCCAAAAUUGUAGCAACUUUCUCUCUGUGAUAGGAUAUUAGCUUAACAACAAUAGUUGUAGAGUUUCAAAUUGAUUGUACUGUUGAGAUCUGUUCUAGAGUCCAAAAGAACAGAUGAUGUAAAUUUGCCAAAUAGUUGAAAUAAAACAAAAAAUUUCUUCUAAAAAAAGUAGUCAACACGAACCCCACAGUCUCACCUAUUUAGUGGUCAAAGAAGACCUUUUAUUAUUACCCCCCUUUUUCCUUUACAUCAUUAUGUAUUAUCCCCCACAAACCCUUGUCCCCUCUUAUUUUAAUUAAAUGUUACGGGCCCACAUUUAAUUAAUUCCCAAAAUACCCCCAAAAUUAUUGAAAAUUAUUAUUCUUUCCCAUCAUCUAUAUCCAAUCUUUCCUAAUCAAUUCAAACAAUUAAUAUCACCAAACAAACUCCUAAUCAACAACAUUCAGGAAUCACUUCAACAAAGUAAGAUUUAUAUCAACAUUUGAAGAUCAUAUUCAUAUUUGAAAAAGAACAAUCUAGUAGAUUUAAAUUACCAAACUCAACAUCAGUUGAACUUCAAAUUAAAAUCAACAGCAUUAUAACCAAGAUGAAAGAUUCAAGUGAUUUAAACUAACACACUUCUAUAUUAAAACUAAACAAGAACAAAUAAAUGAAAAUUGGGUUGGUUAUUGAACCGCCCAUUUAGCGAGAAAUUUAAAACAAACUGAACUAGGAGUGAAUCUUAUCAACACUCUAAAUCAAAACUAUACAAAAAUGUAAGAUUACUGACAGUGAGCUAAAUUCCUAUGGAUUAUCACAUGACACAUCAAAGAGUAUAACCCAUGACAAUCAAAUAAACGAUGAACAAAACUGAAAUACAACUAAGAAAAACAAAUAACAAUAUCAAAAAUAGAACAAAAGAAGAGGAAAAUACCUCAUGAAAUCAGAACAAGGCGAACUCAAGCUUGAACUUAUCCGUUUCCCCUCUGCUAUUUCUCGUCAUUAUUUUGUAUAUUUUUAGGAUUGUUGAUGAUCGGACAAGGUGAAGACGAGGACUGUUGACGAGCAGUUAGUGUUCAACGACGAGCAUGGUGUUAGACGACUCGACUGGGCCGGCGUGACUGCUGAUCGUUUGGUCAUUUGGAUCUAUCUUCAUGGUUGUUUGGAUUGGUCGUUGGUGUGAGUUGACAGAGGAAGAAGAAAACGACGCAGCAGGGGGUGGUCGUUUGGUUGCGUGAAGGAGACAUGAAGGUGGUUCGCUUGAGAUGAAGGUUUUGGAGAUGAUGAAGACGAUCAACGACUGGGUGGUCGACGAUGGGAGGCAGUGUGGGUUCGACUGGUUGGAGAUGAUGACCAGGCAGGGGGUUCGUUUUCGUCGUUUGAUUGGUUAGCGAUAUGGGUGGUCGUUUGGAACAAGGGGUGAAGCAGACUGGUUCGUCGGUGGUCGUGGGUGACGAUGCUGGGCAAUGAAGUGGUCGACUGGACUGCUUCAAACAUUGGUCUGGACGUUUCUGCGUUCUUGUGGAAUUUGGUUGCUCGUGGAGGUUGAUGGGGCAGCAACGUCAUUGCUGGGGUCUUCUGGUCGACGGGCUGUGCGAUGGUGAGAAGCUAGUUGGGUAGUUUUUCGGCGAACUGAGAGUGAUGGGGUGGUGGGGAAGAUGAGGAAGAACGGAGGGGGCAGCAUGGUGGUCAGAAAUGAUGGGUUUCCGACGUGGGGGUGGUUUCUAGCUAAGGUUUUGAGGGUGUGUUUGGAGAAGAUGAAGAGAGGGUGGUGGGUGCUUAGGUGUGACGGCCAGAGAGAGUUUAGGGUGUGUUUAGGGUUAGGUUAUUUGGUUAAAUGAAAAAAGAAUCUGAAAAAUCAAAAGAG